rnacentral:rRNA from 1 species
GACGAACGCUGGCGGCGUGCUUAACACAUGCAAGUCGAACGAAGUGGCGCACGGGUGAGUAAUACGUGAGUAACCUGCCCUCCUUUUUGGGAUAAGCCUUGGAAACGGGGUCUAAUACCGAAUAAAGGGGGUUGGGCUCGCGGCCUAUCAGCUGGUUGGUGGGGUGAUGCCCUACCAAGGCGGUGACGGGUAGCCGGCCUGAGAGGGUGAACGGCGACAUUGGGACUGAGAUACGGCCCAGGGUCCUACGGGAGGGAGCAGUGGGGGAUAUUGAACAAAGGGCGAAAGCCUAAUGCAGCGAGGCCGAGUGGGGGAUUAAGGCUUUCGGGUUGUGAUCCUCUGGCGCUAACGAACGGGUAGGUGGAGAAGAAGCGCCGGCUAACUACGUGCCAGCAGCCGCGGUAAUAC